CCCGCUGAACUUAAGCAUAUCAAUAAGCGGAGGAAAAGAAACUAACAAGGAUUCCCUUAGUAACUGCGAGUGAAGAGGGAAGAGCUCAAAUUUAAAAUCUGGCAGUGUUUUGCUGUCCGAGUUGUAAUCUAGAGAAGUGCUGCCCGUGCUGGACCAUGUACAAGUCUCCUGGAAUGGAGCGUCACAGAGGGUGAGAAUCCCGUCUUUGACAUGGACUACCAGUGCAUUUGUGGUGUGCUCUCAAAGAGUCGAGUUGUUUGGGAAUGCAGCUCUAAAUGGGUGGUAAACUCCAUCUAAAGCUAAAUAUUGGCGAGAGACCGAUAGCGAACAAGUACCGUGAGGGAAAGACGAAAAGAACUUUGGAAAGAGAGUUAAACAGUAUGUGAAAUUGUUGAAAGGGAAACGCUUAAAGUCAGUCGUGUCGGCCAGGGAUCAACCCAGCUUCUCUGCUGGGUGUACUUCCUGAUCUGAUGGGCCAACAUCAGUUUUGACUGCUGGAGAAGGAUAGAGGGAAUGUGGCACCUUCGGGUGUGUUAUAGCUCUCUGUCAGAUGCAGUGGUUGGGACUGAGGAAAGCAGCAUGCCGCAAGGCCGGGUUUCGACCACGUUCAUGCUGAGGAUGUUGGCAUAAUGGCUUUAAUCGACCCGUCUUGAAACACGG
rnacentral:rRNA from 1 species